GGGUUGUGAGGUUAAGCGACUAAGCGUACACGGUGGAUGCCCUGGCAGUCAGAGGCGAUGAAGGGCGUGCUAAUCUGCGAUAAGCGCCGGUAAGGUGAUAUGAACCGUUAUAACCGGCGAUACCCGAAUGGGGAAACCCAGUGUGAUUCGUCACACUAUCAUUAACUGAAUCCAUAGGUUAAUGAGGCGAACCGGGGGAACUGAAACAUCUAAGUACCCCGAGGAAAAGAAAUCAACCGAGAUUCCCCCAGUAGCGGCGAGCGAACGGGGAGGAGCCCAGAGCCUGAAUCAGCAUGUGUGUUAGUGGAAGCGUCUGGAAAGGCGCGCGAUACAGGGUGACAGCCCCGUACACAAAAGCGCAUGUGCUGUGAGCUCGAUGAGUAGGGCGGGACACGUGGUAUCCUGUCUGAAUAUGGGGGGACCAUCCUCCAAGGCUAAAUACUCCUGACUGACCGAUAGUGAACCAGUACCGUGAGGGAAAGGCGAAAAGAACCCCGGCGAGGGGAGUGAAAAAGAACCUGAAACCGUGUACGUACAAGCAGUGGGAGCACCCUUCGGGGUGUGACUGCGUACCUUUUGUAUAAUGGGUCAGCGACUUAUAUUCUGUAGCAAGGUUAACCGAAUAGGGGAGCCGGAGGGAAACCGAGUCUUAACCGGGCGUUAAGUUGCAGGGUAUAGACCCGAAACCCGGUGAUCUAGCCAUGGGCAGGUUGAAGGUUGGGUAAC
rnacentral:rRNA from 1 species